UACGAAGGGGGCUAGCGUUGCUCGGAAUCACUGGGCGUAAAGCGCACGUAGGCGGAUUGCUAAGUCAGGGGUGAAAUCCUGGAGCUCAACUCCAGAACUGCCUUUGAUACUGAAGAUCUUGAGUUCGGGAGAGGUGAGUGGAACUGCGAGUGUAGAGGUGAAAUUCGUAGAUAUUCGCAAGAACACCAAUUGCGAAGGCAGCUCGCUGGGACGUUACUGACGCUGAGACGCGAAAGCGUGGGGAGCAAACAGG
rnacentral:rRNA from 1 species